UACAGAGGUCUCAAGCGUUGUUCGGAUUCAUUGGGCGUAAAGGGUGUGUAGGUGGCGCGCUAAGUCGGGUGUGAAAUUUCGGAGCUUAACUGCGAAACUGCAUUCGAUACUGGCGUGCUUGAGGACUGGAGAGGAGACUGGAAUUCAUGGUGUAGCGGUGAAAUGUGUAGAGAUCGGGAGGAACACCGGUGGCGAAGGCGGGUCUCUUGGCAAUUCCUGACGCUGAGGCGCGAAAGCGUGGGGAGCAAACGGG
rnacentral:rRNA from 1 species